UACGUAGGGUCCGAGCGUUGUCCGGAAUUAUUGGGCGUAAAGGGCUCGUAGGCGGUCUGUCGCGUCGGUCGUGAAAACUUGGGGCUUAACCCUGAGCUUGCGGUCGAUACGGGCAUGACUGGAGUUCGGCAGGGGAGACUGGAAUUCCUGGUGUAGCGGUGAAAUGCGCAGAUAUCAGGAGGAACACCGGUGGCGAAGGCGGGUCUCUGGGCCGAUACUGACGCUGAGGAGCGAAAGCGUGGGGAGCAAACAGG
rnacentral:rRNA from 1 species